rnacentral:rRNA from 1 species
GAGUUUGAUCCUGGCUCAGGUUGAACGCUGGCGGCAUGCCUUACACAUGCAAGUCGAACGGCAGCACGGGAGCUUGCUCCUGGUGGCGAGUGGCGAACGGGUGAGUAAUGCAUCGGAACGUAUCCUGGAGUGGGGGAUAACGUAGCGAAAGUUACGCUAAUACCGCAUAUUCUGUGAGCAGGAAAGCGGGGGACCUUCGGGCCUCGCGCUCUUGGAGCGGCCGAUGUCGGAUUAGCUAGUUGGUGAGGUAAAGGCUCACCAAGGCGACGAUCCGUAGCAGGUCUGAGAGGAUGAUCUGCCACACUGGAACUGAGACACGGUCCAGACUCCUACGGGAGGCAGCAGUGGGGAAUUUUGGACAAUGGGGGCAACCCUGAUCCAGCCAUGCCGCGUGAGUGAAG